CCAACCUGAAGGUCACCAGAGUAGGAUUUUACCUUCUCAAAGGAGAAACCAGCUUCUUAUCAAAGAGAACCCUGCUUUGCUAUCAGGGGGAAAAGCAGCCUCCUUAAUCCAAUGACAUGAUUCCUUGGGGCUCACCCAUUGUUCUGAUAAGGACUGAGUAGUUGAGAGGAAAUUUGCUAUGAAAGUCCUCCUUUCCCCAUAUCUGAAAGAACCGCCAUCUAAUUUAUCAUAUGUUGAUACAAUUUCCAAUUAUCGUUUUGUGACAUUUUGCAAUCCAAGUUCUCUCUCUCUUCCAAGCCUCCAACCUUCCCAAGACUACAGGUAAUAUGAUAUAGGUUGGCAUGUGUUAAACAUAUUAAAUAUUUCCAUAUUUGUCAUGUUAAAGAAGACACAUAUCGCUUACACUAGAGAAAAAUUGAUGGAGAUAAAGUGAAGAAUGGUAUGUUUCAAUCUGUGUUCAGACUCCAUCCAAGAGCUAUAUAUUUUGCUUAUUAUCAUUCAGUGGGAUUUAUGAUGAUUUAAAAGUCUUCUAUAAUUAUAACAUUGGUGUCAAAAACCAUUUGCAAUUCAAUUAGAUUUCAAUUAUUUGAAUUUAGAUGCUCUUCCAUGUGAUACACAUGCACACAUACAUGGAGCAUUAAUGGUACUAUUUAAUUAUCUAUGCAGCAUAAUUUAGACAGAAUUUUUCCAGUUCUCUUGACAUUAUUAGCCUUCAUUGUAAUCUUACCUGAAAAAACAAACAACUGAAAUUAAUUUUUUGAAAUUGUUUGAAGUAUAUUUUUGCCCUAACCCCCCAUUUUUACUUUGUAUAUAUCUUCAUGUAUUAAAUGUAUUUCUUGAAUCCAAAAACUUACUGGGGUUUUUUCUUUAUUCAUUUUGUUAGGAAGUUUAAUCCAUUCAAAUUUAAAGUUUUGAUUCAAUUCGUGCUUUCUUCCAUUGGAUAAUUAGGUAACCUCUCCUACUAGCUGUAUGAUUGUGGACAUUCUCAGUUUCCUCCUCUGUAAAAUGGGGAUAAAAAUAGCACCUAUCUCCCAAGGUGGCUGUGAAGAUAAAAUGUGAUAUCAUUUGUAUUUUGUAAACCUUAAAAUAAUAUACAAAUGCUGGGUAUUAAUAAAUUACUUAUGUGCAUUUAUUUCCCCUUCUUU
rnacentral:lncRNA from 1 species